AAGGUCUGGGGGCCGCAUGUGGAGAGGACGAAAGAGCAUGGCACUGGGGAGGAGUGCUGUACAGUGGGCAAUCCUGCUGCCAAACUGAGGAACCCAGGAGUGGAGGUGUGGGGCAGAGGCUGGAGGGCCAGGGGGCCAGAUGCAGGCAGCCUAGCGUGCAGGGCUGGGUGUGGGCUUGGUUUGGUGGAGGCUUGUGUGUCCUGAGGAGGUGCGGGGCAGGUGGGUGGGGUGAUGAAUCUGGCAGCAGCGCACAGCACUGGCGGGAAUCACCGAGGGAACCAGCUGCAGGCUUCUGCAGCAACCAGGCAGACAUAAGGUUGUAGAUGUUGAGAGAAAAAGUAGAAACAAAAAGUGACAGAGGUAAGAGAUAUUUUGAAGAACAAAUAGCAAUGAUGGCGUGAUUGUAUACGUGGGAAGGGGAGAUAUGACCAUAAGUGCUGUUGAUUUGGAGCUUGGGAGGCAGGGCAGAAGAGAGCUACCCCCAGGUGAGGGUGGAGUGUGCGUGGCUAGGUGAUGAGCUACUUUUAGAGACAUCGUGUUUAUAAGGACAGUGGGAUCUUAACUGGGAAUGGUCCAGGGGGCUGGAAAUAAGGACAGAGGAGCUGCCCAGAGGAGUAGCAGGAGGGAUGAAAGAGAUACCAGCGGUUUUAAAGGCAGGGAACCGAAAGGGAGAGAGAGAAGUAGGGCCAGGGAACACCCACGUUGAGGAGGAGGAGCCAGCGGUGAGGCUGUGGAGGGACUAUACACCCUGCACGUAGGCCAGCUGGGCGGUAAACUUCCUGACUUCGAAGGCCAGGCUGUAGCCCAAGAAGGCCUUGCAGAGCCCUAGCGGCGCCCGGAGUGUGAGCCAGGUGCUGUCUCGGGAUGAGGCCUGCAGCUUGGCUCCGCCCACGUGUAGCCGCCUGGAGGGGGAGCCAGUUGAGCAGGACAGCGCCACUCCAGGGCAGAAGGCCAGGUGCGAGCCUCUGGUCCGGCGCUAGGAACAGCCACGCCUGAGGCCCCCAGGGCCCAGGAACCACCCUGCUGGGUUGUGUACGCUGGCCCGAGUGGCUGAUGUACUUUGGGCCUUAUUUCCAUUUCCUCGUUGAAUGUGUUCCUUGAAAAGCAUAU